rnacentral:rRNA from 1 species
GAUGAACGCUGGCGGCGGGCCUAACACAUGCAAGUCGAGCGGAUAGACGGUGCUUUUGCCUGGUUCCCGCGGGGGACGGGUGUGUGAUGCACAGGAGUCUGCCUGGCAUUGGGGGAUGAUGUCCGGAAGCGAGCGCGGAUACUACAUACGACAAGAUGGUGAAACAGGGGGGUCUUUGGAAAUCAUGGGAUCUGAUGAGCCUAGGCGGGGGUAGCUAGUUGGUGGGGUAAGGGCGUACCAAGGCGACGUUCCGUAGCUGGACUGAGAGGAUGAGCGGCCACACUGGAACGGAGACACGGUCCAGACUCCUACGGGAGGCAGCAGUGGGGAAUAUUGGGCAAUGGGCGAAAGCCUGAUCCAGCCAUGCCGCGUGUGUGAAGAAGGUCUUCGGAUUGUAAAGCACUUUUAGUUGGGAGGAACAGCUGUAAGUUUAUACCUUGCUGGAUUGACGUUACCUACUAAAUAAGCACCGGCUAACUACGUG